CAGUAGCGCGGUAAUACGAAGGGUGCAAGCGUUACUCGGAAUUACUGGGCGUAAAGCGUGCGUAGGUGGUGGUUUAAGUCCGUUGUGAAAGCCCUGGGCUCAACCUGGGAAUUGCAGUGGAUACUGGGUCACUAGAGUGUGGUAGAGGAUAGUGGAAUUUCCGGUGUAGCAGUGAAAUGCGUAGAGAUCGGAAGGAACAUCUGUGGCGAAGGCGACUAUCUGGGCCAACACUGACACUGAGGCACGAAAGCGUGGGGAGCAAACAGGAUUAGAUACCCCGGUAGUCCCUGUCUCUUAUACA
rnacentral:rRNA from 1 species